rnacentral:misc_RNA from 1 species
AAGUCGUAACAAGGUUUCCGUAGGUGAACCUGCGGAAGGGUCAUUACAAUAAGUCUAUCAAGACUCUUAUUAUGUGCAUCUUAUUGAAUUGGUAGUUGCUGCUUGUGACUACCAUAUGUUUCUCUGUUGAAAUCCUAUGCUUUAUCAAACGAGGUAAAGGAACUUUUAGCAAUGGAUCCCUUGGCUCUU